rnacentral:rRNA from 1 species
GACGAACGCUGGCGGCGGGCUUAACACAUGCAAGUCGAACGAAGUGGCGAAAGGGUGAGUAAUCCGUGGGAAACCUGCCCUCCUUUUUGGGAUAAACAUUUGAAACGGGGUCUAAUACCGAAUAAAGGGGGUGGGGCUCGGGGCCUAUCAGCUUGUUGGUGGGGUGAUGGCCUACCAAGGCGGUGACGGGUAGCCGGCAUGAGAGGGUGACCGGCCACAUUGGGACUGAGAUACGGCCCAGACUCCUACGGGAGGCAGCAGUGGGGGCUAUUGCACAAUGGGCGAAAGCCUGAUGCAGCGAGGCUGCGUGGGGGAUGAAGGCUUUCGUGUUGUAAAACUCUUUUGCUAGCGAACGGGUAGGUGGAGAAGAAGCGCCGGCUAACUACGUGCCAGCAGCCGCGGUAAUAC